UACGUAGGGGGCUAGCGUUGUCCGGAAUCAUUGGGCGUAAAGAGCGUGUAGGCGGCCCGGUAAGUCCGCUGUGAAAGUCGGGGGCUCAACCCUCGAAAGCCGGUGGAUACUGUCGGGCUAGAGUGCGGAAGAGGCGAGUGGAAUUCCUGGUGUAGCGGUGAAAUGCGCAGAUAUCAGGAGGAACACCGGUGGCGAAGGCGACAUCCUGGACCGGCAUUGACGCUGAGGCGCGAAAGCCAGGGGAGCAAACGGG
rnacentral:rRNA from 1 species